rnacentral:rRNA from 1 species
AAGUCGAACGCAGCAGCUUCGGCUGGCUGCGUGGCGAACGGCUGAGGAACACGUGGGUAACCUGCCCCGGAGUGGGGGAUACCCCGUCGAAAGACGGGAUAAUCCCGCAUACGCUCUACGGAGGAAAGCCCCUACGGGCGCUCUGGGAGGGGCCUGCGGCCCAUCAGGUUGUUGGUGUGGUAACGGCGCACCAAGCCACUGACGGGUACCCGGUCUGAGAGGACGGCCGGGCAGACUGGGACUGCGACACGGCCCAGACUCCUACGGGAGGCAGCAGCAAGGAAUUUUCCCCAAUGGGCGCAAGCCUGAGGGAGCAACGCCGCGUGGAGGACGACGGCCUUCGGGUUGUAAACUCCUUUCGGGUGGGACGAC